AACAGUGAAAUUACAUAUAUAUAAAAUAUAAUAUAAUGUAUAAUGUAUAUUUGCAAGUUUUAUAUAUAGAUAAAAAAAUUCACACAAAUAUUUGUUUGCAAAUAUGUAGAUCACAAUUUGCAAACAAAUAUUUUUUGUAAAAAGGCUAUUUUUCUUUGAAAAAACUUGGUUAGAAAUGUUUUGAUUGGCUCUGAUAUAAUAAUUCUUUGCCUUUAACAUCUUUCAUCCAAGUAUCUCAAAGUGCUUUACAUAGGAAGGGAAGUAUUAUCCCAGUUUUGCCGAUGGGAAAUUAUGGCACAGAGCAAUUAACUGACUUGCUCAAAGUAUGAGAGCAAAUCAGGGCUAAAGAGGAGAAUAACUGCCUCAGUUUCUCAGUACUGAGAGUCCUACAGGUUGGCAAGCACUAAAUGUUGGUAAGAUCUUAAUGAUGGUGCUUAGUAUUUCAGUCCACGUGUGAGACACUGCUUUGAAAAUCAAAUUUGCAUCACCAAAACCAUGUUGUGUGGCACCAUCUGUACUAGAUCCUGGUUGACAGAAGUCUUUUACUAUUUGCUGCUAACUGUCUAUUCCUUACCUUCCCCAGGUAACAAGAACUCCAUGUAUAACAGUUUGCAUUAUGAAUAGGAGUUUGCCCCUGUUUCCCUGUGCACUAUAUGCGAGGGAAGCAGCAGGAAUUGGUUUUAAUAUUUUAACAAUAGUAAAAACAAAGUAAAGUGUAAUUUUUAGGUGCUGUAGGAUUGACAAGGAUAGAGUUUUGUUUUUGUUUAUUUUAUUUGUGCUACAAUCUGUUUGGAAAGUGGGGAAGGAGGGCAAUACAUGCAGGAUAUGUAACAUUGUCCAGAAUUGACAGCCUUUAAUAGAAGAGUCUAAUAUGUGCUAUAAUGCCGAGGCUGGACUGGAGUAAACUAGAUGUAGCAGCAGCUUCCCCUUGCAGUCAGAUGUUCCUUUCUUUUUGGGUUUAGGUCUCAACUUUUAUUUCUGGCUACAUUUGUGUUCAGUUACAAUAUUUGUCUGUUGGUAAAAGUGACCUUAUAUACUGGGCAUAACGAACCAAAUGAAAAACUAGUAUAACCUCAUGAAAUCAAUGGAAUCAUAAUAGUGCUGAAUGCAGCCCAACCUCUGCAAGACUGGAUCCGCAUGCUGUGGACAAGGCAUUCCUCUCAGAAUUUCUACAUAUUUCCCCCCUAAAUCAAUAACAAUGUGUUAUUAACAAAAUGCUGCUAGAGCCAAACUCAUGACCCCCUGCAUUUAAUCUGCACUCCCAACAUGGAAGUUGACAUUGAAAAGGGAUGGGAGGGGCUUACCAUGGCUCGAGUCACCCAUAAAAAUGAAGAUUUUUUUUUUUGUAAUGAGUAACAGCCUGAUUCUGCUAUGUGCUGAGCACCCACAACACCUCUAGAAGUCAAUGAAAACUGACUAAUUGGCACUUCCCAGGGGGAACUCAGCACCUCACAGGACAAUACCUUACAUUUUUUUUACGCGAGUAUCACAAAGCUGAAUACCAUCACAGCAGAUACAAGAAAAGACAAAUACUUUUUACCCAAUUGCCGAAGCUGCUCUUCAUUGAGCCAGCCUGUGGAUGGUUUAUAAAUGGAGCUCUAAGAAAAACCUACUGAGAUAUCAGCUACAAAAUGAAUAAGGAUGGAGCUGUUCUUUUUAUUUUUUUCUCUUUGUCUUAAUGAUAGCUGAAUAGCACACUGGGUCGGAGUCUCUCCGGAAGGCCCUUCACACACACUCUGGGGCCUAGCGUAAAUGAGAAUUAGGCCCACAGAGUUAAAAAUACUGAAAUAAUACAAAUCGCUAAGUUUGGGGCAUAUCCCAAACUGCUCAUGUUGUGGGAAGUCCCAAGUGGUUCACAAUUGGAAACAUCUGGCUCACUUCACGGAAGCGUCUCAGCAGGCAACACGCUCCUAGUCAAGAUGUUUUGAAUUUUUAGUGUAACGCAUAUUAAAGCAACAAUGGGUGUAUUCACUGGAAGAAGAUCCCUGGGGUUACUGGAUUUUCUUCAUUUUGUGCUCAAACCAAGGUUUGUUUAUUUGAAAUGUAACCAGUGAAGAACAUAACAUGGGACACCACUUUUAAUGGAGAAAUGGGAGAAACCCUUGGUAAUCUCAGGCAUUUUUAAUUUCAUAGGUGAAAGCAGACAGAGUGAUAUUGUUUCAUGCAUUUGUGACCCAUUUUUCUUUCAGUCAAAAAUCGUGUGGUGUCGAUGCCACGAAGGACUCUUUAGCAAAAAGCGCUGAAGCCAUUGUUGAGAGGGUCACUCUUCACACACAGGCAUUUGGAAGCCUAAGCAGAGAAUUACUCUGGUAGUUGGGCACCAUUGCAGUGUCUUGCCUGGCACUGCUUCUUCUCUAUGCUUCUGGAAUUGUAUGGGUCAAGCAGCAUAAGUUUUUUGUAACCAAAGGAACUCCCCUUCCAUCUGGUGAUCCAGAUCUGGUUCCAUCUUUAACUGUCUUUGGCAAUGAUGUGUGUGAGAGAGGGAGUGGCAACAAUGCUCCACCUCAAGCACUGAUUGCAGCUAAAUGCAAACUGCUGGGACCAUGUUUCCCUUGCAGAAACCUGAGGCAAACUCUUCAUGCACAUUUUGCCUCAGGUAUCCUGAAGAGGAACAUGACUCUCUCCUAGUUUUCCUGCCAAAACCGAGCCAAAGUUUUGUGAGUUUCUUUGUGAUCACGGAAUUCACUGAAAAGGUACACAAAGUCCAGGCCAGUGUGUUCCAAUAGAAGCCCAACGUUGUAAGGAGUAGCAGCACGACAUACAUGUUUCUCUCUUGGCAGUCCAAAGUGCUCUUGUAAUAAUUUGCAUAUCGUAACUGAAACUAAUACAAAUCUUUAGAGCUUUGGCUGGAGCGCUGAGGAUACAGGGGACACAUGAGCCUUGGUGUUGCCCAUCUUCUCAUUCCCCCUGGUUAGCACUUACCUGUCUCUUCUCCACUAGACUGCAAUCAGCCCCUCCCCUUCCAAUGAACUCCCUCUCACUGGUCAUGCAAGAAGAUGACUAAAUUACCUAAAAUAUACUAACCUAAAACAUGGUUUUUGUAUUGCUUUCCCCAUCUUCACUCCUUGCUCUGCUGAUUCGUGCGUUGUUUUGUUUGCUUUUUCUUUUUCCUCCUGUCUGUUGCUUCCCUUACGCUCUCCUCCUCUCUCUCUCUCUCUCUCUCUUCCCCUCUCCCCAUUCUUCCAUGGGGUCCCCAUAUUUCAGUUUUUUCCCUUACACGUUCUCUGCAUCCCGGCUUUUUUUUCUUUUCACAGCCCUGUCUUUCUGCCACCAACCUCUCCAUCUCCCCUUCCUAUGUCUGUCUGUCUCUCUCCUACUCCUUCCCCUGCGUCUCAUGUCUUUCUGCCAGCCUAUCUACCUAGGCUUUUGCUAACUGAGCACUAUCCUUUCUCAUGCCUCUCCAAUUCCUCAUUCCAUUUACAGUUGUUGUUGUUUUUGUUUUUUGUUUGCUCUUUCUGUUCCUAUCCCAACAUGCACCAGCAGAUGUCAGCCACCCUGGACCCAGAUUACAUGUCCUACUCUCUAUGCAGGGAAUGUAUGCGUGGCUUCGACCUGCUGCUUCUUCCUGCUCUUGGGAUCCACAGUGCAAACUCUGCAGUUGAUCUCUUCCUGCUACUGCAAACUCUGAGGGUUCCAGAUAUCGUUCUGGCAAAUGAAUUGCCUGAAAGGAGAAAAAAUGGCCUCAAACUGAAAUUCCUAACAAACAAGCCGGGGCAAACAGGAUUGUUUUUUGUUUUGUUUCCUCCUUUUCUGUCCCUAAUUUUGCCAAAUUAAAAAGGUCAAAGGUGAGGUUGAACAUUUAAAAAAAAAAGGCAGUACUAUGUGUCAAAAACAUAGAAACAAGCUGAAAUAUGAAGUGGUCUAUUUGUGACUGUGAGUUUGUUUUGUAAGCAUUGUAUGUCUCCAUAUCAAUUCCUCUUCGUCUUUUGGAUCUCUUUUUUCCAACAGAGCCGUUAAGCAACAAAAAUAGUGGUGUACUUCCUUUAUGUAUUUUCUGCAUCUCUCAAGCUGAUGAAAGGAAUAAAAGUGUUUUUUAUGCUCAUCACAAGUUCUGUCUGCCCCACUUGUUUUUUGUAAGUGAUGCAGUUGGUCCCCUGACUUUUUUCUGUCUACCAUUUCAGAUAAUUAGCAAGCUCGCAAAGUUCACUACUCAAAACACAUUCACAAACACUGGCUGCUUCCCGUGAAGGAAGUGGCUCAGCAAAACUCUGUGUUGGUAUGGGUGUGUGUAUGUACAUGCACUGAAAAUAAAGAUUUUUCGCACACAAAAAUCUCUUAAAUUUCCUCCACAGUUCAAAGUUAAUGGAAGCUUCAGCAUCUGAUGGGAUUUUGUAGUACAGCCCCUUUCCUGGGCACACUAUCAACAAGAAGCGGUGGUACAUCUGUUAGUCCACUAAGGAUCAAUGGUGUCUAGAAAGCUAAGGAAUGGACCCAAGGACUUUCUGAGUGCCCUGGCCUCACUACAUGGUUUUCCCACUUGGAGGUUAGCCAGUUUGCCUUGAAGGAAAAGAAAGAACACUCUGGAGGGAGGUCCGGCUGGCUGGCUGGCUAUGGGAACUGGCAAUGAAAUGCAGAACCUUUCACCUCUAGGUUGCUAGUUCAAAUCCAACCCUGUACAGUAGUGACCAAAAGUUGUUACCAUCUGGUGGCUGCUUGGUGGCCUUUGUAGAAUGAGCCUUUGUGGUCCCGGUCUUGCUGUUAACAGGCACGUAGAUGGAUCACCACCAUAAAUGAAGCAAACUGGCAUCCCUGCACCAGUCUCGGUAGAGAUGCCAAGCGUGGAAUAGGCCUAGAGACUGAAUUGUCCCCUCCUCUCCUCGUGGUGGUCCUUCUAGUACUGGGUUGAGAUAACAGUAUGAAGAAGCUUGUACAGCUGAUGGACAUACUGUUUCUUUCCCGUGGAUAGAGGACUUCAGCCUCCUUGCCUGUUAAGCUGACAAUUCAUGCACAUUCAAUUUACUGUUGAAAGAGUAUGACAAAACAAAAUCACCUGGAUCAUUGGCAGUGGAAAAUGGUUACCCUGCAUAAAAAGGCAGAAAUAAUUUCAGCUGGAUUCCAGGAUGAUUAGGCUUGAAUGUUUUGGAUCUGGAGAACUUCAAGGUGAUCCCUUUGAACAGGUUGAGAGAGAAUGAAUCCCUCUUGUAUAGUGGACAAACUGACAAAGUCCAAAGUUUGCAGUCUGUAUCAUAGGGAGCUGGCAGUGCUUUCCUCUGCUGAGGGGCAAAUGGAGUUACAGUAAAAGCUGUGUUAUCCGGCACUUUAUUAACUGGAAAGCUCUAUUAUCCGGCAUUUCUGAUAUCUCCCAAUACAAAUCUUCAAACUAGUAACGAGGACUAGUAUACUGCCCAGGAGGUUAUGCAAUAACACAUUCUGAGGCAGAAGACAAGUAAGCAAGCUGAUAUCAGGGAUUUAUUCAAAAAAGCGGUUUCCAGGGUGUGUCAUAGGGUCGUUACAGAUUCAGCUCAAUCUACUACACCUUUCACAUCUACAAUGAUAAUUGAUGUUGAUAAGGAUGACCCUGAGGCACUGCAAGAGCCUUGAAAUGCCUUCUGAAUUAUCAAAAAAAAAUUAAGUUAUGUUCAGUAUAGUUUUAGUGUUAAGUGUAUUUUUAGUGAUCUGGGUGUAUGCCAUGUGCUGCUCCUAGUGAUAUAUAGUGUCAUAAGAUAAAAGUUUUCUAUACAGUAGGUUACCUGUAUACACCUAAGUGCUUCAAGAAACCAACCACUGUGCAGUGCAGGACUACUACUGGAUUGGUGAAUACCUGUGUACUGUAUUACUGUAUUUUAUACCUUAUUCAUUUUAUUGUAUUCUAAUUCUUUGAAAAUUGGUAUUCCAUUGGUCAAGUAUAACUCUGUUAACCGGAAUAUUUGAUUAACCAGCACCCACCAUUUCCCCAACAUGCCGGAUAACAAAGCUUUUUCUGUACGUACCUCAGAUUUCUCCAAAGGAGCUCUGCUCUUGAUGUCAAAUGGAAGGCAAUGGGCUGGCAAGUCUCCUCCAUCAGGUCUGUACACCAUUAUGUAUAAGAUUUUGGUGAUAAGGGUCUCCUCUCUAUUUCAGGGAGCUAGGAUCUCAACCUGGUUUAUAAGGACACUCAUACAGACAGUUCAGCCUGACUGUACACCUGCUCCAUUUAUCUAUCUAGUUUUAUAUAAUGCCUAUCUGUAUAUGAGCACCUUCCACAUAAAAUCAAUAGCAACAGGAGAGUCACUAGAGGACUUCAUGGAAUCUCUGGGACUCCUCCCUUUAUGGGAUCAGCCCUCUCCUUGGGAUAGGGGUUUGGGGGUUUUGGGGGGUGGAGUGGGAUAUGAGGGGCAGUUGAAAGGGGUUUUAGAAUAAAAGGUGUUUUGAAUUGUAUCACUUAUGGUGGAGGAAGGCUUGCAAGAUUUCCUAAAGAUGGUAAGACUGUGGAAUUCACCUGAUCUCUAGAAAAUUGUUCCAUAGCAGGAUCCCUUCAACAGAGAAAGUUUUGUCCACAGCCCUCACGUGCUUCAUCCUGGGCUUUGUGAUCUGCGUAGUCCUAGAAAAGAGCAACUGUUGUGGGCAUUCAUAGGUCACAAGUUGGUCUUCGAGGUAACUGGGGCCUGAUCCGUUAAUUGCUUUGAAAAUUAGGACCCAGGCCUUACACCAGCAUUGGAAGCUGACUGGAGUAGUAGAGAGAUUUGAGCACAGGCCUGAUGUGCUCUACAUCAGCCUGAGCCAAGGAGAAGGUGGGUAGCCAAAUCCUAUACCAGCUGAAGCCUCUGCAUCAUCAUCACGUUCAGCUUCAGAUGCAAUGACUUACAACCAUCCUCCCUGCAGCUAUUACAGUACCUGUGGGUCAAAGCAGGUAUUCUGAUUUUGGCUCAUUCCAGCUUAAGAAUGAACUUGUCUCCUGGUAAUAUAUAUCAUGCCUUGUUACUGUCAGAUUAAUGAGUUCAAUAUUCUGUCAAUUCUUCAGGAAUCACAUAUACGCUAACAAGCUGAAAAAAGCAUCUAAAUUGGGCAGAGCAGCUAAAAUUCUUUAAGGAAGAAAGAUAAGCCAGAUGAAGGAGGUUUUCUAAUUUAUUUAUUUUUUUAAUUCAGCGCAAACAAUGCCUUUGAAAAGCCACUUUAUCCAAAAGCAGUGUUAAAUCUUGGUUUCCCCUCUUAGCGUACAGCUCUUUAAUGUUUUGUAGGCACCGGAAUUGAAUCCCAGCCAAAGACUCCUAAGAUGGGGGUGGAUUUGUCCGCAUAGCAGGAAACGCAUGCCAUGUUCAGAGAGAUGUGGCUGCCCCUGGGAGCAAACUGCAUUGCUGUAAUGCUUCUGUAAAACUAUUUCUUCAAGGCAUUUAAAUCAUCUUUUGGAAAAAUGUUCAAAAUAAAAUUGUUCAU